CACACACGCACACACACACACACACACACACGCUGUGUCCUGAGGGCCUGGGAAGAGGAGAGGUGCCCAGGCAGGGUGUCCGGAGGGAGAGGACCCAGCAGGGACCUGGGGGCAGGAGGCUGGGCGGGGAGAGGGGCAGGGCCCAGCGGAGGCUGUGAGAGGAGGAGCCAGGGGAGGGGAAGGAGGGGGCUCUGGUCAGAGUGAGGACGACUCCACAAGCCCCAUGGACCGUGUGUAGCAGGCCGGCCGGCCAGCCCUGGGGGGAGGGGUCCCCACCACACAGUCUCUCUAGGCUCGGCUGCCUGUCCAGGGGGCGGAGGAGUCAGCUGGGGAGACCCCCAGACGUGGGUGUACCACCAGGAGUGGCCCCAAGUCCCGGGCAGCAGCCAGGAGUCCCUCCUGUGGGGCCUCCGGGAAGGAAAGGACCUGGAUGGGAGGACAGCGCCCCCUCCC